AUAUACAGAGUUACUAUGGUGAUUUAUGAACAUAUGUGAUCAUAUACAGAGUUACUAUGGUGAUUUAUGAACAUAUGUGAUCAUAUACAGUAAGGCAUGAGCAUCAACAACAUGACAGUGAAAACAGUAUGAAAAUACUAAUAUUAUAACCUUUUGAACUAAAGAGUGUUUAAAAGUGUGAGUAGGUGUGUGUGAGAGUAGGUGUGUGUGAGAGUACGUGUGUGUGAGUACGUGUGUGUGAGGUCUGCCGUCCACACCCACACCACAUGACUAAACAACAUUCAGACCCUAACAGCGUAUUUCCAUCUGAACACAACAGUGAGGUUUGACUGGCACACUGCUUCCCUGCUUCCCGUCAAUACCAGCGAGCUUUAGCUGGAGCAAAGGCUAGCUUUAGCUGGUGGAAUAGCUAGCUUUAGCUGGAGGAAAGGCUAGCUUUAGCUGGUGGAAUAGCUAGCUUUAGCUGGAGGAAAGGCUAGCUCUAGCUGGUGGAAUAGCUAGCUUUAGCUGG
ensembl:lncRNA